CGAACGGGUGAAGUAAUAUAUCGGAACGUACCUUCAGUGGGGGAUAACGUAGCGAAAGUUACGCUAAUACCGCAUAUUCUGUGAGCAGGAAAGCAGGGGAUCGCAAGACCUUGCGCUGAUUGAGCGGCCGAUAUCAGAUUAGCUAGUUGGUGAGGUAAAGGCUCACCAAGGCGACGAUCUGUAGCGGGUCUGAGAGGAUGAUCCGCCACACUGGAACUGAGACACGGUCCAGACUCCUACGGGAGGCAGCAGUGGGGGAAUUUUGGACAAUGGGGCGCAAGCCUGAUCCAGCCAUGCCGCGUGAGUGAAGAAGGCCUUCGGGUUGUAAAGCUCUUCGGCCGGGAAGAAAUCGCACAGGUUAAUACCCUGUGUGGAUGACGGUACCGGAAUAAGAAGCACCGGCUAACUACGUG
rnacentral:rRNA from 1 species